GCUAGGCAUGGUGGCGGGUGCCUGUAGUCCCAGCUACUGGGGGGCUGAGACAGGAGAAUUGCUUGAACCCAGGUGGCAGAGGUUGCAGUGAGCCGAGAUCAUCGCUCCACUGCACUCCAGCCUGGGCAACAGAGCGAUACUCUGUCUCAA
rnacentral:SRP_RNA from 1 species